rnacentral:rRNA from 1 species
GGCGGCGUGCUUAACACAUGCAAGUCGAGCGGAAAGGCCCUUCGGGGUACUCGAGCGGCGAACGGGUGAGUAACACGUGAGUAACCUGCCCUUCACUCUGGGAUAAGCCUGGGAAACGGGGUCUAAUACCGGAUACGACUUCGUCCCGCAUGGGACGGGGUGGAAAGUUUUUUCGGUGAGGGAUGAGCUCGCGGCCUAUCAGCUUGUUGGUGGGGUAGUGGCCUACCAAGGCGACGACGGGUAGCCGGCCUGAGAGGGCGACCGGCCACACUGGGACUGAGACACGGCCCAGACUCCUACGGGAGGCAGCAGUGGGGAAUAUUGCACAAUGGGCGGAAGCCUGACGCAGCGACGCCGCGUGGGGGAUGACGGCCUUCGGGUUGUAAACCUCUUUCAGCAGGGACGAAGUUGACGUGUACCUGCAGAAGAAGCGCCGGCUAACUACGUGCCAGCAGCCGCGGUAAUACGUAGGGCGCGAGCGUUGUCCGGAAUUAUUGGGCGUAAAGAGCUCGUAGGUGGCCGGUCGCGUCGGGUGUGAAAGCUUGGGGCUUAACUCCAGGUCUGCAUCCGAUACGGGCCGGCUAGAGGUAGGUAGGGGAGAACGGAAUUCCUGGUGUAGCGGUGAAAUGCGCAGAUAUCAGGAGGAACACCGGUGGCGAAGGCGGUUCUCUGGGCCUUACCUGACGCUGAGGAGCGAGAGCGUGGGGAGCGAACAGGAUUAGAUACCCUGGUAGUCCACGCUGUAAACGUUGGGCGCUAGGUGUGGGGGACCUUCCACGGUUUCCGCGCCGUAGCUAACGCAUUAAGCGCCCCGCCUGGGGAGUACGGCCGC